CCCAGACUCCUACGGGAGGCAGCAGUGAGGAAUAUUGGUCAAUGGCCGGAAGGCUGAACCAGCCAAGCCGCGUGAGGGAGGAAGGCGCAGAGCGUCGCAGACCUCUUUUGCCGGGGGACAAAAGGCCGGACGGGUCCGGUUCUGAGGGUACCCGGAGAAAAAGCAUCGGCUAACUCCGUGCCAGCAGCCGCGGUAAUACGGAGGAUGCGAGCGUUAUCCGGAUUCAUGGGGUUUAAAGGGGGGGGGGGCGGGGUUUAAGGCGGGAGGGAAAGGCGGGGGCCCCACCCCCGGCCGGGCCGGCGGAACGGGGGGCCUUGAGGGCGGCGGAGGCAUGCGGAAUGCGAGGGGUAGCGGUGAAAUGCAUAGAUAUCG
rnacentral:rRNA from 1 species